UUGAACUGAAGAGUUUGAUCCUGGCUCAGAUUGAACGCUGGCGGCAUGCCUUACACAUGCAAGUCGAACGGCAGCACGGGUGCUUGCACCUGGUGGCGAGUGGCGAACGGGUGAGUAAUACAUCGGAACAUGUCCUGUAGUGGGGGAUAGCCCGGCGAAAGCCGGAUUAAUACCGCAUACGAUCUACGGAUGAAAGCGGGGGACCUUCGGGCCUCGCGCUAUAGGGUUGGCCGAUGGCUGAUUAGCUAGUUGGUGGGGUAAAGGCCUACCAAGGCGACGAUCAGUAGCUGGUCUGAGAGGACGACCAGCCACACUGGGACUGAGACACGGCCCAGACUCCUACGGGAGGCAGCAGUGGGGAAUUUUGGACAAUGGGCGAAAGCCUGAUCCAGCAAUGCCGCGUGUGUGAAGAAGGCCUUCGGGUUGUAAAGCACUUUUGUCCGGAAAGAAAUCCCUGGCUCUAAUACAG
rnacentral:rRNA from 1 species